UCAGCUUUAUAAACGAAGCCUUGUGUCCAGCUCUGUUUGCGGACACGUUUUAUAGAGAGAAACCGAGCAAAUUUGGGAGGUAAAAAUGAAAAUGAUGAGCAAUUUCUUUAGCGAAUCUGAAUCUUGGGUUUCUUCUGUGAAUGGAAUUAAUGAAGACCCAGAUGAUGAGAGCUCGAGAGAAGAGGAGGAGGGCUCUGAUUCCGAGGACUCGGCCGAAAUGGGGGCGGGGAGGGAACUUUUGGAGAAGAAGAUGAAGAGGAGGAACCAGGUUUUGCUGAAGGGGUUUGUGGAGGCGGCCGAUGAGGACGAUUUGAUGAGGACCAAGAGCUUGACGGAUGAGGAUCUGGAUGAGCUCAAGGGCUGUUUGGAUCUAGGGUUCGGUUUCAGCUACGACGAAAUUCCGGAGCUCUGCAACACCCUGCCGGCGCUCGAGCUCUGUUAUUCCAUGAGCCAGAAGUACAUGGACGACCACCAGAAGUCGCCGGAGAAUUCGCCGGCAUCGGCCUCGGCCUCGGCGCCGGCGGACUCUUGUUCCUCGGUGUCGAGUCCGAUUGCGAAUUGGAAGAUUUCCAGCCCUGGUGAUCAUCCGGAAGAUGUUAAGGCAAGGCUCAAAUUUUGGGCUCAGGCAGUGGCCUGUACUGUUAGAUUAUGCAACUAAGAAGACCAUGAAAUGGAAGUUUUGAUUAGGCAAAGAAAAGCAAAUGCAUCUUUUUGCACUGGUAACCCUUAGCCUUAUGGUCGACGACUUUGCACGCCUCCGAACAAACGAACGGCCUGCUCGAUGUGUCUGACUUGAAGAAGAUGAAGAAGAAAAAUGUGUCAGUGGUUUGAGCCUAGCUUCCUUCCAUAACACACCCAGUCUCUCUUUCACUGACUUUUUUGCAUAUGCUAAGGUUUUUUUCCAAUGGGAAGCAGGAGAGAGUUCAUUCUUUGUUGUUUCAAUGUCUGAGUGGGGAAAUUUUUUGGUUAUGAUUUUGGGUUGUGGAUGAAGAUGGUAAUCUUUUUUAGUUUAUGCCAUUCGGCGACUCGAAAUUAGGGAGCGGGGAAUGUUAUGUUCUCGACGUUGUCUCUACUACAAGUGUAGGACGGUUUUGAGUUGAUUGGGAGAUGGCAAGGUCGGGAGAAUUCUAUGAGCUAUUUUGAUAACAAUUUUGUAUUUAGUUUUCCUCUCGACCGAGUUUUUUAAGCUCUUGUUUGGAUGCUAAAAGAAAAAGUAAUGACUUGUAGAAUUUUUAUGAUAUUGGUACUAUACCUUUGGAA